rnacentral:rRNA from 1 species
AUUGAACGCUGGCGGCAGGCCUAACACAUGCAAGUCGAGCGGUAGAGAGGUGCUUGCAUCUCUUGAGAGCGGCGGACGGGUGAGUAAUGCCUAGGAAUCUGCCUAGUGGUGGGGGAUAACGUUCGGAAACGGACGCUAAUACCGCAUACGUCCUACGGGAGAAAGCGGGGGAUCUUCGGACCUCGCGCCAUUAGAUGAGCCUAGGUCGGAUUAGCUAGUUGGUGAGGUAAUGGCUCACCAAGGCGACGAUCCGUAACUGGUCUGAGAGGAUGAUCAGUCACACUGGAACUGAGACACGGUCCAGACUCCUACGGGAGGCAGCAGUGGGGGAAUAUUGGACAAUAGGGCGAAGACCUGAUCCAGCCAUGCCG